CACACGCACACACACACCCACACACACACACACCCACACACACACACACACACACACACAGAUGAAGGUAGAGCUUUGAGAUGAGAGACACUCCCCACACUGAUGAAACCAGAUUGCAGGCAAACUCACACACACACACACACCCACACACACUCACACACACUGUUGAAGCCAGAUUGCAGGCCAACUCAUACUCACACACACACUCACACACUGAUGAAGCCAUGAUUGCGGGCAAAGUCACAGCCAACAGCAUAUUACUCAACUCUCAUCCAGUGGUCUGUUUGUGUGUGUUUGUGUUUAUGUGUGUGUGUGUGUGUGUGUGUUUAUGUGUGUGUGUGUGUUUAUGUGUGUGUGUUCUGAGUAAUACUGGGCUUCACUGAGGGGAUAGUGACAGCAAUGAUGAGAAGUCCGCUGUGGGCUAUAGCAUACAUGCAAGCUUGAUACACACACACACACAUGCACACACACACAGACACACACAUAGACACACACAUGCAUACACAUACACACUCAUUACACACAAACACACACACGCAAACACAAUCGUUACACACACACACACAGACACACACACACACUUGUUACACACAAACACACACACUCAUUACACACACAAAUGCAAACACAAUCAUUACACACACAGACACACACGCAAUCACAAUCGUUUUACACACACACACACUCAUUACACACACACACGCAAACACAAUCAUUACACACACACACACACACACGCAAACACAAUCGUUACACACACACACACAUACUCAUUACACACACACACACACACGCCAACACAAUCGGUAGACACACACACAAACACAAUCGUUACACACACACUCGUUACACACACACACACACUCGUUACACACACACACGCAAACACAAUCGUUACACACACACACACACUUGUUACACACACUUCAUACAUGUGCUGCCUGUGGACCCUUCCUGAGGACGUCUGCCCAUCACUCAUCUCGCCUCAGAGGUCAUGUGAUCAUGAUGCUGCCUCAGAGGUCAUGUGAUCAUGAUGCUGCCUCAGAGGUCAUGUGAUCAUGAUGCUGCACGUCUCAUCUUCAAAUUAAACUCUAACGGGGGAACACACCGGCAGAAUUCUCCUUCUACUGCAGCCUGUGGUUGGGCUGAACUGGCUAAUGCUAACCAACAAACACUUGUACCGUUAGCAGGUGGCUAAUGCUAACGUACAGACACUUGUACCCUUAGCAGGUGGCUAAUGCUAACAUGCAUACACUUGUACCCUUAGCAGGUGGCUAAUGCUAACAUACAGACACUUGUACCCUUAGCAGCUGGCUAAUGGUAAUGUACUUGUGCACUUGUACCCUUUGCAUGUGUGAUGUCGUAGAGAUCUCUUUGUGUGUCAAAGAGGUUUCCAUCUGCACUGAGCAGAGGUUCAUCCCUCUGGAGAGAUCAGAAAAGCUCCACUGUGUGUGUGUGUGUGUGUGUGUGUGUGUGUGUACUGUACAAAACUAUUUGUAUAUCACUGUUCAAGAAUGCUCAAGAAUGUAUAGCACCGUGUAAGAAUCCAACAUUUACCCGUGUGUGUGUGUGUGUGUGUGUGUCUUAGAGUGGUAUGUAUUCUGUUGUGUGUUUCUCCUCUAUCUGUGAGAGAAAUCUGUAAAUAAACAAUUAUAAAUAAUAGAAAAGCCUAUAGAAAAGCC
ensembl:lncRNA